ACAGUCAGUUUAUCUAUUCCGGCUCCUGUCCGAUUCCGACAUAUUUCUAGAUUGAAUGGCUGGUACGGAGAGAGUAUGUUUAGAAACUUAAUUUUGUCUGUUGUUUCAUGUAAAGUAAUUAUUUCUUUGUCUACUGAAUGGAUGUUUACAAAAUGUAUGAACUCUUGGUCUGCCAGCGCUUGGAUUUCCAAAACGAGGCUUCAGAUCGGUUGAAUUUCCGGCGCGUUUUUUCGGACGUCUGAAAAGUCGGUGGACAACAUUAAUCUGUUCAAUGACCGAGGUUACCAAAAGAUACAAUUGCCAUGGGAAAGCAGAAGACAAACAGAUCAUCAGUACAUUGUAGUCCAGCUGUAGAGGCAGCAAAAUCUGUAAAGCGGCACGAGUACUGGUUAUGUAUCUAAGAAGCAGAAUUGAGAAGGAAUAGUCUUAAGCUGUAAGAACUUGUUUCCCAAAUGUUGUAAAAUUAUUAAGUUUAAACUAAAUUGUUGCUGUAAAUUGUAACAGGUAUGAAUGAGUUAACACAUAACCAAACAAUAAAGAUAUUUUAGAUGUUUGUUGCAGAUGACAUAGGACAUCACUAGGAUAAAAGUAAUAUUUACUCAUUUUAGCAAUUUCUCAUUUUAUCAUAAUGAUUUCUACCCUACCAAAUCAAUUUCUUCCUUCUCUAUCAAAGUUCCAUUUUUUUCUGCAACCUCAUUGAAUUUAGGACAUUCCAAAUGUAUUGUUUGGUAACAAGUUGACACCGAACUUCAUUUUUUCCCCCACAAAAUAUGUGAUAAUAUACUCAAUGAAUAUGCUAGUCCUUUAUGUCUUGUUUGUUAAUUAUAUAUUUUUAUAUUUUUUUAUUUUGUUAUUGAUUUUAAACCUUUCAAUGCUGCAUUUCAAGAUUUGGAAUUAAUGUGUCUAUGGACUGGAUUUAAGCACUUGCAUCCAAUUAGCUCAGCCUUCCAAAAUAGCCAAAAUGAUUUGAGACAGUUUGUAACAAAGAUUCAACUACACGAAUGUGUGUGUUAUCUUUGAAACACAUUGUUGAUAAGACACGCAAAAAAUAUCCAGCAUUGAAAGUGUUAUUUCAACAGGCAGUUGAUUUGCUAGAAAUAAAAUUGUAAAAUUA